GGUUAAGCGACUAAGCGUACACGGUGGAUGCCUAGGCAAUCAGAGGCGAUGAAGGACGUGCUAAUCUGCGAUAAGCGUCGGUAAGGUGAUAUGAACCGUUAUACCCGACGAUUUCCGAAUGGGGAAACCCAGUGCAAUUCGUUGCACUAUCGUUUGAUGAAUACAUAGUCAAACGAAGCGAACCGGGGGAACUGAAACAUCUCAGUACCCCGAGGAAAAGAAAUCAACCGAGAUUCCCCUAGUAGCGGCGAGCGAACGGGGAGCAGCCCAGAGUCUUAAUCAGCAUUAGUAUCAAGAGAACGGUCUGGAAAGUCCGGCAGUAAAGGGUGAUAGCCCCGUAUCUGAAGAUGCUAGUGUUGUGAACUCGACGAGUAGGGCGGGACACGUGUUAUCCUGUCUGAAUAUGGGGGGACCAUCCUCCAAGGCUAAAUACUCCUGAUUGACCGAUAGUGAACCAGUACCGUGAGGGAAAGGCGAAAAGAACCCCGGCGAGGGGAGUGAAAUAGAACCUGAAACCGUGUACGUACAAGCAGUGGGAGCCUUGAUUUAUCAGGGUGACUGCGUACCUUUUGUAUAAUGGGUCAGCGACUUAUAUUCUGUAGCAAGGUUAACCGUAUAGGGGAGCCGUAGGGAAACCGAGUCUUAACUGGGCGAAUGAGUUGCAGGGUAUAGACCCGAAACCCGGUGAUCUAGCCAUGGGCAGGUUGAAGGUUGGGUAACACUAACUGGAGGACCGAACCGACUAAUGUUGAAAAAUUAGCGGAUGACUUGUGGCUGGGGGUGAAAGGCCAAUCAAACCGGGAGAUAGCUGGUUCUCCCCGAAAGCUAUUUAGGUAGCGCCUCGUGAACUCAUCUUCGGGGGUAGAGCACUGUUUCGACUAGGGGGUCAUCCCGACUUACCAACUCGAUGCAAACUACGAAUACCGAAGAAUGUUAUCACGGGAGACACACGGCGGGUGCUAACGUUCGUCGUGAAGAGGGAAACAACCCAGACCGCCAGCUAAGGUCCCAAAGUCAUAGUUAAGUGGGAAACGAAGUGGGAAGGCUCAGACAGCCAGGAUGUUGGCUUAGAAGCAGCCAUCAUUUAAAGAAAGCGUAAUAGCUCACUGGUCGAGUCGGCCUGCGCGGAAGAUGUAACGGGGCUAAACUAUGCACCGAAGCUGCGGCAGCGAUAUGUAAAUAUUGUUGGGUAGGGGAGCGUUCUGUAAGCCUGUGAAGGUGUACUGUGAGGUAUGCUGGAGGUAUCAGAAGUGCGAAUGCUGACAUAAGUAACGAUAAUGCGGGUGAAAAACCCGCACGCCGGAAGACCAAGGGUUCCUGUCCAACGUUAAUCGGGGCAGGGUGAGUCGACCCCUAAGGCGAGGCAGAAAUGCGUAGUCGAUGGGAAACGGGUUAAUAUUCCCGUACUGGUGAUAAUUGCGAUGGGGGGACGGAGAAGGCUAGGCUGGCCGGGCGACGGUUGUCCCGGUUUAAGGAUGUAGGCAGGUGAAUUAGGCAAAUCCGGUUCACUAUAUGCUGAGGUCUGAUGACGAGUCACUACGGUGGCGAAGUAGCUCAUGCCCCGCUUCCAGGAAAAGCCUCUAAGCUCUAGAUUAUCA
rnacentral:rRNA from 1 species